UCCUUAGACCAUCCUCGUUGGUGA
rnacentral:siRNA from 1 species